rnacentral:rRNA from 1 species
GAAAUUACACCUGAUAGUACGAUCCGAGACAGAACCCCUAGCACCCGAAAAUCGUCGUGCCCUCGAUGCACUUGCCCGUCGCCGUCAUUCGUCCCUAUCGUCCCUUUCUACACGCAGCUUCCGUCCCAGCCGCUCAUCCCUUGUCCGCCUUCACCGCCGGUCAAUCCCUUCGACGCCGCCAUCCGAGUGCAAAUACAGGAAGAUCCCGUAUCAUCCGUCGCUGAUCAUCGGAUCUGGACAGGCGAUUGCAAAGUCAUGAGGAUCCCGCAUGAUCCCUCUGAGUGCCCAUGAUAUGGACCGGCGUGGGACGAAACAGCUGAUUUCUACUCUAGGAGUUUGGGGCUAGUGACGGCCCUCGGAGACGGUGUCAUCAGUAGCAGCAUCUGCCAAGGAUCUCGAGUCUGCAGCUCACAACCGGAUCACAUGCAAAAAGUGACACAAACAAAAAGGUGCGUAUGGGUAAUUCAAGAAGCAAGGCGGUUGAUCAGCAACCAGAAGAGGACGUUACUACGGACCUUACAAGCUCUAUAAUAGUUGAAGAUAACAAUGCAAGCAUCAUACAUGUAUCUCAAAACAUUGGGGAAAAUUCAGCUACGGUUCCAGAUGGAUCAAUGUCGUUUUCGGAUGGAGAGCACAAUGAGGCUUGCUUCACAGCUCCGAGUAUACUGAAUUUGGAUUUUAGCACAAAUCAAGAUGAUGGAACAAGUCCGCUACGGAUUAAAGACCAUCAUGAUGGUUCGUUGUUGGGUUCCAAUAAUCUAACUCUCGAUUGUGGCACAAAUGUAGAUGGCCACAAUAGUAUUGGCGGUGAACCUCCAAACGAUGAUAUCGAUGGUGCGACAAAGCUAACAGACGACAUCAGAUCCAUAGAUCUAAGUCAUAUAACAAAUGAACACCUCAACACACAAAGGCGUGCAGCUUAUCAUAAGAAAAAAGUACAAGACAAUGUGUUGUUGCAGGAGGUUCAACAGCCCUGCUUGUCGAAAUCUGACCAGAGGGAACUUAACAAUGCGUGGAGGCGGGAAUCUUAUCGAAUUAGCAAGACAAAUGGUUUGAAAAAACAACAAGUCGAUGGCCACAUUGUUCAACGUCGUACCCUAGGUGAUAUCACGAAUGUUCGUCAACCUACACAUGUGAUCUCGGAGGACAACAAUGUCACCAAAGAGAAUGUGGCAAUAACCGAAGAAGAUCGCAAAAGAGAUCAUAGAAACGCCCUCAGGAGAGCAUCUUAUCGGAGGAAAAAAGAUCAGGGUCUCCAAGAAAAUAAUCUCCGCACCCUUAAUUUAACUGACAACCCAACUAGCUCCGCCUAUACAACAUUAUCGCAUACUGAUUCAGCAUUUACUGCUACAACUACGGAGACAUCUUGUCUGGUUAAUGACAAUGAUCUACAUGACGUUGACGAGAAUAUACUUGAAGAAACAAAUCAUAUAACCGAGGAAGAUCGCAAGAGAGAUCAUAGAAAUGCUCUUAGGAGAGCAUCUUAUCGGAGGAAAAAGGAUAAGAUAUUAGCAGAUGAAAAUCUACGGCCACUAUCUAAUUCAGAGUGGCUCCUGGUGCCGCCACGCCUUUGAUCUCCUCCGCCAAUCCACUACGAUCCUACUAAUCCGUGUUACAGGCAGGGAGGCCGACGCGGGUGUGGGAUUGCUGGUUUAUGCUGCUCCGUAUGGCAGAUAGCGCGUGUGUCUGUGAGAAAGGCGCAAGGGCCAGAGCAGCUCUAUCCAUGUGUGUAAUUUUGAUGCCGACGAGCAGCAGCAGCCAGGCCUCACGUGUUGAGAGAGAUAGAGAGAUGAGCUAUAAUUUUUAAAUACUGAAUGAUCCCACUGAUCUGUUGCUUCUGCUAAUGCAUUAGCAUAGAGCAUUUGCCUAAUUACGUUGCUGCUAAUGCAUACGCAUAAAUAGACAACAGUAUGUUGUUUGCUAGCUAUCGGAGCGUGUACUUCUACUAUUAUUACGAGACGUGCUCUACUAUUGUUUCUCAUUUGUACGUAUGUGUGUCAUUAAGACAGUCGUGAUGAAAAAGAAUAAACACUAUUCUCCCAUAGUGUAAUUAUAUUAUUUGAUAUAGAUGAUGAUCGUACAAUUAUGUGUUAGGCAUGAUAUAUGUGAAAAACACUAAAAUUGUCUAUUAUCCCAUAGCUACGCACGGGCAUUUACCUAUAUCAUAAUUAUAUAUAUCAUCAAGGGAAUGGAAAAUUAAAAUAUAAUAUAAUUAAUUAAUAUAUUAAUGUGAAUAUCAGAAAGGUUAAUAAAUAUCCAUAAAAAAGAAAGUCUGUUUUUCAAAGGCAAGUGAUAAAUCAGAUUCGUUUUCAUAGGCAAGUG